AGCAAGCCAUGGCCAGAUGAGU
rnacentral:misc_RNA from 1 species